rnacentral:rRNA from 1 species
AGUGAACGCUGGCGGUAGGCCUAACACAUGCAAGUCGAACGGCAGCACAGUAAGAGCUUGCUCUUACGGGUGGCGAGUGGCGGACGGGUGAGGAAUACAUCGGAAUCUACUUUUUCGUGGGGGAUAACGUAGGGGAACUUACGCUAAUACCGCAUACGACCUACGGGUGAAAGCAGGGGAUCUUCGGACCUUGCGCGAUUGAAUGAGCCGAUGUCGGAUUAGCUAGUUGGCGGGGUAAAGGCCCACCAAGGCGACGAUCCGUAGCUGGUCUGAGAGGAUGAUCAGCGACACUGGAACGGAGACGGGGUCCAGAGUCCUACGGGAGGCAGCAGUGGGGAAUAUUGGGCAAUGGGCGCAAGCCUGAUCCAGCCAUACCGCGUGUGUGAAGAAGGCGUUCGGGUUGUAAAGCCCUUUUGUUGGGAAAGAAAAGCAGCAGGUUAAUACCCCGCUGUUCUGACGGUACCCAAAGAAUAAGCACCGGCUAACUUCGUG